GAUCCUGGCUCAGGAUGAACGCUAGCUACAGGCUUAACACAUGCAAGUCGAGGGGCAGCGGGAAGUCAGCUUGCUGACUUUGCCGGCGACCGGCGCACGGGUGAGUAACACGUAUCCAACCUUCCCGUUACUCUGGGAUAGCCUUUCGAAAGAAAGAUUAAUACCGGAUAGUAUCGAGAGAUUGCAUGAUAACCCGAUUAAAGAUUCAUCGGUAACGGAUGGGGAGUGCGUUCCAUUAGAUAG
rnacentral:rRNA from 1 species